UGUAACAGCAACUCCAUGUGGUG
rnacentral:miRNA from 1 species